CCCCUUUUUGUUGUCUCAACUUCUGUUUUGGGGUCAAGUCAACUUUCAACUCAAAACUUUUCAAUACUUUUGUUAAGAUAACACACAUAUCUGUGUUUUGCUCAGAAAUUCUAAUGCACAGUUGACACAACUGAGUCAUGCUUGUCUUCUCAAAUGUAAGUUGAAGUUCACCCAGGGUUCACCACGCUACGUCAUUUUGCACAUGCGCAGAGCGGCAGACCACGUUAGUCAACGUCUCCUCCAUUGAAGGACCGAGCGCGAGAAGCGAGCUGACCGUUGGCAAUCAACUGACCGAAGAUUAAUUCAGUGUCAUGACUGAUGCAGUGGAACUAACUAAAAGAGAGAGAGAGAGCAGUUGUUCUC